GGCACGGUAGCUUAGCUGGUAGAGCGUCGGAUUCUUAAUCAUAGAAAGACGCGGGUGGAAUACUGUCCCAAGCCA